GAUUAAUACCCGAUAGCAUAAUGAUUCCGCAUGGUUUCAUUAUUAAAGGAUUCCGGUAAAGGAUGGGGAUGCGUUCCAUUAGGUUGUUGGUGAGGUAACGGCUCACCAAGCCUUCGAUGGAUAGGGGUUCUGAGAGGAAGGUCCCCCCACAUUGGAACUGAGACACGGUCCAAACUCCUACGGGAGGCAGCAUG
rnacentral:rRNA from 1 species